UUUUUUUUUUUCCCCACUGUACAGCAAGGGGAUCAAAUGAAAACAAGCAAGAUGAAGAAGCUGAGAAACCACCCCCAGGCAAACCAACAGGAGAACUCACCCAAAACACUCAACAAUGAAACAGAUCUCUGCAGCCUGACAGACCUGGAGUUCAAAAGAGAAAUAGUGAAAAUACUGAAGGAAUUAAGAGAAGAUAUGAACAGUAAUGCAGAUACCCUCAGAAAGGAACUAGAAAAUAUAAGGAGGAGCCAAGAAAAACUAGAAAAUUCAUUUGCAGAGAUACAAACUGAACUAAGGGCAGUAAAAACCAGAAUGAAUAAUGCAGAAGAACAAAUCAGUGAUAUGGAAGAUAGAAUAAUGGAAAUCAGCAGACAGAAAACCAAAUCAAAAAACAGGAAAGCAAUAUAAGAGACCUAUGGGAUAAUAUAAAGCGGGCCAAUCUCUGAAUAUUCUAAAAGAAAUACCUGGAAGUAUUUUUAUAUACUUAUUUUAUAUAUUAAAUGUAUGUUUGUACCUGUCAAACCUGCAUAAGAUUUCUUUCCAGAACCCUUAGAAAAUCAUGCUGUGACAGUAAGAAAAAGAGAUACAUCGAACGCAUCUAAAUUAUAAAUAUGGUUAUUAUUGUAUGAUUUUAGUUAGGGGUGUGCUGUAUCUACAUAGUAAUCCUGUUGUGAUUAUCUCACAGAAGGGAUGGACCUGCCACCCAAAAUUUGGCUUGUUUGUUGAGACUGAUCAUGCCAUACGCAUGCCGCACAGGAGAGAGUAUGAAAAGGUUUAUCACCCACCUAACAAGACUUUCUGGGAGCGAAGGGUAUCCUCCCAAGCAAGCCCUAAAUGGCUUAAGAGCACAGAGGGGCAACCGGCUAGGAUUUUACAGUGGUUAAGGGGAAUGGGACUGGCUGAGGGCUCCCUUUCACAGCUUGACCUUGCAAGCUUUGAACUUCCUGCCAGUACUGAAUGAGGGAACACCCAAACUUUCCUAUUAGAAAGUUCAUUGCUCAGAUAUGGGACAAAGGAGGAAGGAAGAAUUGUAGUGUUUGAAUGCUGUCAAUGGUCCAACAUCAAAAGUGGAGUCAGAUUCUUUAAUAUAAACCCCUCCAGAUCCUCCUUGUUUCCUUUAUAAGGUAGUCAGAACUUGCCAUUAAACAUGGUUUCACUGCUUGCUGUCUCUCUCUCUCCUCAAUUGUGAACACGUGGAACCACAACUUUAUCAGUUUUCUUCAUUAAUAGACACUCGACUGAUCAUAACACCUGGCAUAAAAGAGAUGAUCAAAAAUAAUCACCAAAAGCCAACAGGUACAUGAAAAGACGCUCAGCAUCACUAAUUUUCAUUUCAGGGAAAUGCAAAUCAAAGCCACAAUGAGGUAUCCAUCCUCAAUAUCCUGCUAUGAUAGGCUAACAGGACAAGGGAGAGCACAGGUUGGCAAGGAUGGGGAGAAAAGGGAAGCCUCAUGCACAAUCUGUGGGAAUGUAAAUUGGUGCAGCCACUGUGGAAAACAGUAUGGAGGAGCCUCUAGAAAUUAAAAAUAGAAUUACCGUAUGAUCCCACAAACCCCCUUCUGAGUAUACAUCUAGAGGAAAUGAAAAUAGGAUACCGAAGAGAUAUAUGCACCCCUAUGUUCACUGCAGCAUUACUCAGGAUAACCAAGACAUGGAACCAACUUAAGUAUCCAUCGAUGGAUGAAUGGAUAAAGAAGAUGUGGUAUCUAUAUGCAAUGGGAUAUCCUUCAGCCGUGAGAAAGAAGGAAACAGGGAUGUAACUUGAGGGCAUUAUGCUAAGUAAAAUAAGCCAGACAGAGAAAGACAAAUGCUACGUGGAAUCACCUAUAUGUGGAAUCUUUAAAAAAAAAAAUAAAAAGUCAAAUUUAUAAGAGACAGAAAGUGGAAAAGUAGGUAGCAGGGACUGGAUUGCAGGGGAGAUAGGGAGAAGUUGAAAAAGAGUACAAACUUUUAGCUGUAAGAUGACCAAGGUCUGAGGAUCGAAUUCAAAACAAGGUGAUUACAAUUAAUAACACGGCACUAUGUGAGUGAAAUUUGCUACGAGUAUAAUUUAAAUGCUCUCAUACAAAAAAAGAUAAAUGUGAGUUCGCCUUCUUGGCACAGCAGAAACGAAUCUGACCGGGAACGAUGAGGUUACGGGGUUCGAUCCCUGGCCUUGCUCAGUGGGUUAAGGAUCUGGCGUUGCUGUGGCUCUGGCAUACGCCGGCAGCAACAGCUCCGAUUGGACCCCUAGCCUGGGAACCUCCAUAUGCUGUGGGUGAGGCCCUAAAAAGGACACACACACACACACACACAAAAAGAUAAAUGUGGUGUGAUAAUGUGUUAAUUAACCAGAGGGAGUCCUUUCAUAAUGUAUAUUUAUAUUAAAUCACCAUAAAGUACAUUUUAAAUAUCUUGUAAUUUUAUAUGACAAUUAUACUUCACAACUGAAGUAAAAAAUGCAAAAAAUUUAAAAAAAAAUUUAAACAAUAAUAAAAUAUGGUCAGAUGCAUCGAUAGGCUUCAGUUAGCUGUUCCAUGUAUAUCUAACACCCUUCAUAACUUCCUAUUUACUCCAUGUACCAUUCUACCACAUUCACAGCAGUCAUGCUAUCACAGAUACUGAAUAAAUCCUGCAGACUAGUGAGAGUUUUCUAUUAUCUGUUGUUUAAAUUAGUAAAACAUUCUUUUCAGUAUGAAUUUGAUGGCAAAGUAUACAAAAUGGUUUUAAUUACAAUCCCAUGUUCACAUGUUCAUAACUUGAUGAAAAGAAUGUCUUUGAGGCUGAAACUUUCCAUUUCAUGUUCUAGCUCCACCCAAAUACAGUUAUUUUUUCCUCCUCUGGAAAAUUUGAGGAAAUCUGUAUGAUCACUUAUGAAUGUGGAAAAAGAUGCAUUCUUUCAAAUGUUUAAUUAAAUAAAAGGAUCGACAAUUACAAAAUCUUCAAUAUAAACCUACCAUGCAUAUUUAUAAAAACCAAAAUAAAAAUGCAGCAGGCCUUGGAAAAGAGAUCAUGUUUUUAUACAGAGAAAAUUCUUUUUUUUUUUUUAAUCUUUUUAGGGCUGCACCUGCAGCAUUAUGGAGGCUCCCAGGCUAGGGGUCAAACUGGAGCUGUAGCCACUGGCAUAUACAUUCACUAUGCCUUUACGAUAUGAAUACUCUAUUAAUUUUUUCUUCUAUGAUGGCCCAAGUAAUAGAACUGAAGGUAGAGAUUGUUUUCUGCAUUUUCAAUGCUCUGUACAUAAUAUGUACUCAAAAAUACUUACCAAAUAAAAUAUGUGAAAGAUGGCAAAUAAUUACUCCUAGUGCUGAAAGCUAAUUUAACUUUCAAAAGUGACCUCUUACCAUAUCCUCACAACAACUGACUUUGAAAAAUUUUGAAAAUUCCAUAGUCAUUAAGUUGCCUGUAACUAUCUUCCCUCUAAGCAAUUACUUGAGUAUUAUGAUAAUCAAACUUUUGGGCAUUUCUUCUACCAACUCUUUCUGGAUUUCCUCCUUGCUCCAGAUCGUCAAAUAACCAGAAAUUAACAUGAGUGGCAAUCCUUACCCAAGAAGCUCUGCUGAGAAUACAAAAGACAGUUGGGUGGUUUCUCACAAAACUUCAUGUCCUUUUACCAUACAAUCUAAUAAUCAUAUUCUUUGGUAUGUACCCAAAGGAACUGAAAACACAUCCACACAAAAGCCUAUACACAGACGUUUAUGGGGGCUUUCUUCAUAACUGCCAAAGCUUAGAGGCAACCAAGAUCUCUUUCAGGAGGUAAAUGGAUAAAUAAACUGUGAUACAUCCAGACAAUAGACUAUUACACAGCAUUAAAAGGAAAUGAGCUAUCAAGCCAUGAAAAAAACAUGGAGGAAAUUAAAAGACUUAUUACUCAGUGAGAGAAGAUAAUCUGAAAAAGCUAUAUACUCUAUGAUUCCAAUUAUAUGACAUCCUGGAAAAAGCAAACCAUGAAGGCAGUAAAACGAUCAGUGGCUGCCAGGACUGAAUGGAAGGAGAUGAACAGGCAAAGCACAGAAGAUUUUUAGAGCAGCGAAACUAUUUGGGGUGGCAAGAUAAUGGUGGAUACAUGCCAUUCUGCACCUGUCAAAAUCCAUAAAAUGCACAGCUCCAAGGGUGCGCUCUGAAGUACAGGAUGGACUCCGGGUGAUGAUGUAUCUAUGUGGGGUCAUGCGUUACAACGAAUGCCCCUCUCAGGUACCGGAUGUUCACAGCGGUGGAGGAAGUAUACAGGACUUCUCUAUACUUCCUGCUGAGUUUUGCUGUGACCCUGAAACUACUCUUUUUAAAAUACGUAUUAAAAAGCAGGUAGACUUUAAUCUUGAAUCUUGGAAACAAAAUCAGCAAACUUUCAUAUUUGUAUAAAGGUUGGGAAAAGGGUUUUGGAUAACUGAAAAGUUCCUUUUUCAUUUUUGAAUGUGGUAGUCUGGCUGGUUUGGCAUUCUGGGGAUAUGUGGGCAUAUGGGAAGUGACAGAGCAGGAAACUUGCUUUUCGUUACAAGGAGCAUGCAUUAUUAUGUGCCUAAGUUUUAGAAGAACAGACAACUUCAGUUGCAAGAGUUGAGCCCAGAGGUGAGUUGAGGCUGGAGGACCGCUUAAAUUCAGAAGAUCACCUGGUCGACGCUAACCUUAGUUGAGGCAAAACCCAGCUAAGCUCCACAAUCAUCAUCCUAGAGUUUAAUUUCUCUAAUAGCUUGGACCCGGAUGCACAUCCCACCCAGUAAUUAACACAAAGGUAAAAAGACCUGGAGACCCACUUAAAAGAAUAGAAGUGCUUUUCAUACCUUUCUUAUACUUAAGAAGACAAACACAUAGUCUUAUUAUAAGAUAAUAGCUACUGCUUUUUGACCACUUACCCUGUGCCAGGCAUUUUGCUAAGCACUCCGCAUAAAUUAUUCUCACAACAAUACUACUAAGUAGGUAUUAUUUCCAUUUUAUAAAUGAGGAAAAUGAGGUCCCGACUGUCGCAGAGCUAGUAGGAAUCACAGCUAAGAUUUGAUCUGACUCCGGAGUGCCACGCACUCUUAAACACAGAAUACAGCUCCACGGUCUUUCCUGUGAAAUCUAAAACACCACUGGC
rnacentral:lncRNA from 1 species